rnacentral:rRNA from 1 species
UACGAAGGGGGCUAGCGUUGUUCGGAAUUACUGGGCGUAAAGCGCACGUAGGCGGACUCUUAAGUCAGGGGUGAAAUCCCGGGGCUCAACCUCGGAAGUGCCUUUGAUACUGUUAGUCUCGAGAUCGGAAGAGGGGAGUGGAAUUCCUAGUGUAGAGGUGAAAUUCGUAGAUAUGAGGAAGAACACCAGUGGCGAAGGCGACUCACUGGCCCGGUUCUGACGCUGAGGAGCUAAGGGGUGGGGAGCAAACAGG